rnacentral:misc_RNA from 1 species
GAAACACAAGCAAUUGAGCUACUGAUUACAGAAACUAUUUCUAUGCCUAAGUGGAAGAUAAGGGCUCGGAACAAGAAUUCAAGGGUCAUUACCAGGGAGAUUAAUCAAGCAAUAGAUGGGAAUGUUGAUAUAGGAGUGCAACAAUCCUCGAAUUCCAAUGGGGAAAGGAAUCGCAACAUAGAAGAGAAACAUGGAAGCAAGAAGGUAUGUCUUAAAAACUCUGAUGACUCAAAGGUGGUGGAAGCCAGCCUCAAAUGGCUCCAACCAGAUCAAUGAGACUACUGAGCUGGAAUUGUCAAGGUGUGGGGAGCCCCUUGACAAUUCAUCACUUAAAAGGGAUGUUGAAAUCCCAUUCCUUAGAAAUUGUCUUCUUAAUGGAGAUGAAAAAUAGUGCUAAGAUGGUUAAAAAAAUGUUGCAUUCCUGUGGUUUUUUGGAUAUUGAGAUAGUGAACCCAACUGGGUUAGCUGGUGGAUUGUGUCUGGCAUGGUAAGGAAAUAUCGAUAUUACAGUGGUGGAAAAGUCUCCUUUCUUUUUUCAUGUUUUGGUCCAAGAUCACCAAAUUCGGUUGACUUGGGACCUUCUAGCUAUUUAUGCUAGCAGUAUUGAUGAUGAAAGAGCAACCCAAUUUGACCACAUUCUUAGC